UCUAACAUACUUCUCUUGUCUUCGCAGGAAGUCACUGUGCGGCCUUGGAUGUCCGACGGUAUUUUAUUCCGGGGACUUCGGUGCUUGGUGCUACACUUGGGUGGAUGACAAUGUUCUCCUUUUGUUCACUGAAUUCUGUGCGCAGACAGCGUUUCUCGGUAACACCGACGUUGCCGUCCUUGUACGGAUUGUAUACGUCGGUGGAAGCUGGCCAAUCAGUCGCGUGCUGCAAAAGUGUGCAGUCAUUUGCACGUGAGCGAGGAUUGCAGUCGUCGCUGCAUCACUGGAAACAACAAUGGAUGUCACUGUGCAGCUUUGGAUGUCCGGCGGUAUUUUAUUCUGGGGACUUCGGCGACAGCGUUUCUCGGUAACACCGACAUUGCUGUCCUUGUACGGAUUGUAUACGUUGGUGGAAGUGGUCCAGUCAGUCGCAUGCUGCGAAGGUGCGCAGUCAUCUGCUUGUCAGCGAGGGUUGCAGUCGUCUCCGCAUUAUUGGC
rnacentral:misc_RNA from 1 species